rnacentral:rRNA from 1 species
UACAGAGGGUGCAAGCGUUAAUCGGAAUUACUGGGCGUAAAGCGUGCGUAGACGGUUAUUUAAGUCAGGUGUGAAAGCCCCGGGCUCAACCUGGGAAUUGCAUUUGAGACUGAAUAGCUAGGGUGCGGAAGAGGGAAGCGGAAUUUCCGGUGUAGCGGUGAAAUGCGUAGAUAUCGGAAGGAACACCAGUGGCGAAGGCGGCGACCUGGGUAGAUACUGACGCUGAGGUGCGAAAGCGUGGGGAGCAAACAGG